AAAUUGAAGAGUUUGAUCAUGGCUCAGAUUGAACGCUGGCGGCAGGCCUAACACAUGCAAGUCGAACGGUAACAGGAAGAAGCUUGCUUCUUUGCUGACGAGUGGCGGACGGGUGAGUAAUGUCUGGGAAACUGCCUGAUGGAGGGGGAUAACUACUGGAAACGGUAGCUAAUACCGCAUAACGUCCCUUCGGGCCUCUUGCCAUCGGAUGUGCCCAGAUGGGAUUAGCUAGUAGGUGGGGUAACGGCUCACCUAGGCGACGAUCCCUAGCUGGUCUGAGAGGAUGACCAGCCACACUGGAACUGAGACACGGUCCAGACUCCUACGGGAGGCAGCAGUGGGGAAUAUUGCACAAUGGGCGCAAGCCUGAUGCAGCCAUGCCGCGUGUAUGAAGAAGGCCUUCGGGUUGUAAAGUACUUUCAGCGGGGAGGAAGGGAGUAAAGUUAAUACCUUUGCUCAUUGACGUUACCCGCAGAAGAAGCACCGGCUAACUCCGUGCCAGCAGCCGCGGUAAUACGGAGGGUGCAAGCGUUAAUCGGAAUUACUGGGCGUAAAGCGCACGCAGGCGGUUUGUUAAGUCAGAUGUGAAAUCCCCGGGCUCAACCUGGGAACUGCAUCUGAUACUGGCAAGCUUGAGUCUCGUAGAGGGGGGUAGAAUUCCAGGUGUAGCGGUGAAAUGCGUAGAGAUCUGGAGGAAUACCGGUGGCGAAGGCGGCCCCCUGGACGAAGACUGACGCUCAGGUGCGAAAGCGUGGGGAGCAAACAGGAUUAGAUACCCUGGUAGUCCACGCCGUAAACGAUGUCGACUUGGAGGUUGUGCCCUUGAGGCGUGGCUUCCGGAGCUAACGCGUUAAGUCGACCGCCUGGGGAGUACGGCCGCAAGGUUAAAACUCAAAUGAAUUGACGGGGGCCCGCACAAGCGGUGGAGCAUGUGGUUUAAUUCGAUGCAACGCGAAGAACCUUACCUGGUCUUGACAUCCACGGAAGUUUUCAGAGAUGAGAAUGUGCCUUCGGGAACCGUGAGACAGGUGCUGCAUGGCUGUCGUCAGCUCGUGUUGUGAAAUGUUGGGUUAAGUCCCGCAACGAGCGCAACCCUUAUCCUUUGUUGCCAGCGGUCCGGCCGGGAACUCAAAGGAGACUGCCAGUGAUAAACUGGAGGAAGGUGGGGAUGACGUCAAGUCAUCAUGGCCCUUACGACCAGGGCUACACACGUGCUACAAUGGCGCAUACAAAGAGAAGCGACCUCGCGAGAGCAAGCGGACCUCAUAAAGUGCGUCGUAGUCCGGAUUGGAGUCUGCAACUCGACUCCAUGAAGUCGGAAUCGCUAGUAAUCGUGGAUCAGAAUGCCACGGUGAAUACGUUCCCGGGCCUUGUACACACCGCCCGUCACACCAUGGGAGUGGGUUGCAAAAGAAGUAGGUAGCUUAACCUUCGGGAGGGCGCUUACCACUUUGUGAUUCAUGACUGGGGUGAAGUCGUAACAAGGUAACCGUAGGGGAACCUGCGGUUGGAUCACCUCCUUACCUUAAAGAAGC
rnacentral:rRNA from 1 species